GAUUCAUCAUCUCAAAUUUAAGCUCUUCAAGACCUUGUGACCAAUUUCCAUCUUUUUUGGGAAGGGUCUUCAGAAGUGAUUUUCAGAUAUCUGGAAGAAUCUCUACCUCUGACAGAUCAUUUUCCUGCCUCACAGUUGUUUGUAACAAGAGGAAAAGGGAACAAAAGAGCCACUAUACAGUGUCACAUAGUACUAGGUCAAAAAGGACCAAACCAAUUCAGGUAGGAUUAUUGAACUUCUAUGCCAAUAUGAAAGGACUUGAACCCAGUUUGAGACUAGAGUUUGCAGCACUUGACAAAUGUUAAGAUGCAGGAUUUCUUGUACCACACUCCUUGUGAAAUAUUCUCAGUCAAUACCAAAGUUUAGCUAUCAUCCUGGCUCCCCCAAUCCCUGAAAGUGAAGAUAAAAUCAAACCAGAGAGUGCUUUUUUCCCAUUUGCUGCUAAAACCUUGUCCCUUCUUUUUGUAAUUUGGCAAUUUUCUGUAGUGCUGGCUGCAAUAUGGGUAAAGUGCUAUGUUGCUGAUUGCUACAGGCCUGUGG
rnacentral:lncRNA from 1 species